CGAAUUUGAUGGGUUGAACAGUAGGUUCGGAAACAGUCGCGAUCAUCACAAAAAUGCGAUUAUGUUGCUUAACUCUAAUAAGGGGGAUAACAGCUAAAAGUUAUCGGUGCAUGCUGGGAAGGAUAAAUGGCGUUCGGGGAAAUGCCAGUAAUUACGGGGAGUUUUGAGACUCUUUCAUGCACCUUCAAACUUCUCCUGUGAUGUGGCACUAAUUCUGAUAUCAGCUGAGGAUUCUGGACGGCCCUUUAAAGAAACCCGGGAGUCUUUGUCCGUCCACCCCGCCGCUCAGAUCCAGCACCUUUAAUGGCCGUCUGUGGCGUCUCUCUCCCUAAACUGGCGCCUAAUUUACUCCCUGACAAGCGCGCGCUUGCACAAACGCACGCGCUCUCUAUCUCUUCCUCUAAUUCUUUCCUUAUCUCUGCGCGAGUCUUGAAUGUACGCAAAUAAUUCAUCUGGAUUUUUCAGCCCUUAUCUGAACUGCAGUCUCCUCAGUGCCAGGACUGUGUUUAGGGAGCACAGAAGAGUGAAAGCCGACCUGCCUGGAACUGAUGUCACCGUCUGGCUCAAGGCUGGCCGCCACUGAAACGCUACUCUGGACAAUGCACAGCACUGCAGAAUCUACCUGGGUCUUCGGUUUCUGUUAGCGGAUAGCUGGAAGACUGCAGGCUGUAAUUCUAGGGAAAGCCCAGCCAAUCAAAUUCUCUCCAUCUGUUUCCGUAACUGCUUAUCCAAUGAAGGAGGCUGGCAAGGCCCAGAGUAUGAGCUUCUGUUUGGGGCAGCAAGGCGAGUCGGAUUCGGGCUGCUGAAGAUCGAUCCCGCAUGCAGGGCUGGGCGGCCUCGGCCUGGGCUGACACUCAUCCCUGGAAAACACCGGAAACUCAUAACUGGGAUGAUGGCCGGAGUUUUUAUUAUGACCUGCUGCUCCCGACAAUCAUCCCGACAACAUCGGCAGACAACCUGAACCAAACACACGUGAAGAGGUGACAAAAAUGGGCCGAUUGGAUCAAAUGUUCCUGAGGAGCAAGAUCGGGAUCCUUCUGGAAACCAAGAGAAUGACGACCUGAUUCCGAAUUCUGGAGAAACCUGUUGUGGCUUUGAUUUCGACCAAAACAACAGCUGCCAGGUUGAAACAUUUAUUGGAAGACUGACUGACAGAGAUGCGGGGCCCAAGGGAGUUUGAACAGUGCAUCUACAAAUUCUCUUCAACAGAGAGGGGACUGAUGACUGCAGAAGUGUAAUGUUAUUGAAUUUGUCCAUAAUAACUCUUUACCUCUAUCUUUUCAGAUGAUUAGUAGCAUUGAUUCCUUGACCAUGCUACACAAUCAUAUAAACAAUAAUCGCAAUGACACACUGAUCGAGGCCAAGUGCAAAAACAUCUGAUCAACACCCAUGGUGGAUCAUUAAUAAUAAAGAAUUUAUUAUACCUGAA